GCCUCGGGACCCCCCGAGAGGAGCGCAGUGAACACCCCCUCCCACCUGACCCCCCCCGCGGCGGAAGCCCCCCACGUUCGCCCAGGACACGUCCAGGUUCUGGUACAAACCGGGGAUGUCUCGGAACAAGCCGUGGCGCUGCUGAAGGCUUGCGAGCCGGGCCGUUCCUCACUCCGGGACAGCACCUCGUCCGGGGGGUUACGGGCUGGCGCUGCGUGUGGCACAGCCCCCCCGGCUGCCCCCCGCGGGGAAAGGGGACCCCGUGAGCAGCUCGUCCGCCACUUCCUGAUCGAGACCGGCCCGAGGGGCGUGAAAAUCCGGGGGGGCGGAGGAGCCGCACUUCGGCAGCCUCCCCGCGCUGGUGCUGCAGCAUUCCAUCCGGCCCAUGUCGCUGCCUGCGCGCUGCGCAUCCCUGCCACGACCCACUGGAGAGGGGGGAGCACCGGACCCCCAACGUCCAGCACCGCCGCGGAG